CAAAUCUCCAUAGACUACACCAAGACUCUGAUAUGCAUGCCUCAAAAGUAACAGUGUAGAAAUUUUCUAACCAAAUCAAACCAAUAACAAUAGCAAAUUAUACACCAAAUUGUAUGGCAAGCAUAAUAUCUUUUGAAACUGUAAAUGAUAAUUAGAGAAUGAAGAAAUUCCAAUUGAAAGUUUAACUUACUCAAGAGACAUGUAAAAAUAUAGAUUUCUUACUCUACUCAACAUUAGAUAUGUUUUUGGAGAAGAGUUGGUUCUAACUUGUCUUGAUAGCCUUUGUCACCAAGUGGUCAGAAGUCUAAUCUUUUUCUGCUCCACUGGAAUUCCACCUAAUUGCUUACAUAGGACUUCCCCAUUAAUAAAGCAUUUCUCAUGAAAAAAAAAAUCAUAUCUCUUUGUGAAAUCAUAUCAAAAUAAAUGAAAACUUCAAUGAUAAAUAUUGUAUCUAAUAAUUUGUAAUUUUUUAUCUGUUGAAUCAUGACAGAUCAUUUUGCUUUAAUUAUAUACAAUUUAAGCAACUAUUUUUCUCAAUUUAUGUAACGUUAUUGUCUCUUGCCCCUUUUUUUUGGCAUGCCUAAUAUCAUCUCCUACCUUGACAAUAAAGUUUGAACGUAUAAACAACAAGUGAAACUCAAGAAAGUGCAACUUCCUUGUUCUUCAAUGUAAGAAAUAGUUCCUUAAAUGUUAUUUCACGAGAAAAUGCAAUUGCCAAUAAAGUUUCUCCUAAUAAUAAAUAUGUUUAUGUCACAUUAUAAGGAUAAGUAGGCAAUUACCACAUCAGCUACAUGUUCUUGUUACUUGGUGUCUGUUGCUUGUGACUUGUAUGAUAUAAAUGCAUAUUGUGUUGGGUUGUGACAAGCAUUUACUUUUAAUUUCCUGAAAAUCAUAAAGCAAUGGUUUUAAGCAAACAUGUAGCAAUAGUUUUAAGCAAAAAUUAAGGGACUGAACAACAAAUAGGAAUUUCAGGAUCUAAUUGAAAGAGAUUUCAAAAUUAUAGGGGCUCAUUACACAUUUUAAAUCAUAUAGAUACCUAUUUAAAGAUUCAGAGAAAAUACAGGGGAAAACAUGUGACUUAUCUUUUGAAAUAAACUUCAUUGAACAAGAACUUUUAUAACCAUAAACAGGCAUAAAUAGUUCAAGAAACAUCAGUAUAUUUGCUGGCUUAAGCUGUCAAUGAUUGAAAAAAAUACCAUUAGUUGUCGAUUUAAGACAACCUUGUUACCAGCUGAAGAGUAGAGAGCACUCUUAAGUGUAGUACAAACAGUAGCAUCUGGAUAAAUCUAUGAUUAUAAUUACAAUCAAUACAGUACGUUGUCUACCCAAGCUUCAGAAAAACCAACUAAAGAUAACAGAUUCCCAAAGUUGCCUUCAGAAAAAAGCUCAACAACAUUGAAUUCAAAGUUAUAAAAGCAAAUAAAUGAAAAUUGACUUAUUUUCUAAAGACAUUCAAGAAUUAUGUCAAUCCAGUUACAAAAAAGGGAAGAGGACAAUGUACAUACCUCAUUGAACCUUUGCCUUCUCCUAUAAGCCUGCAUAUAGCAAUACCCAAUAUUUCAUAAACUCUAAACCAAAAAAACAUAAAUCUCCAAAAAGAAUCAACCAGGAAAGGCCAGAUUUUUACACCAGACGCGACCCGAAAAAUAUGACUUUUCCUUACCAACCUCUACUGGAGUUAAACUUUAAAGUUUACACUUGAAUUAUAGAAAAUGCUGAAAAGAAACUUGGAGUGAAUUUUGACAAUAUAAAUAAAUUUAAACAUAUUCGUUUGGGUUAGAAAAAGUAACAAGAGAGAGGGGGGAUAAUUCCUCAAUAUAAUAAUAAUAAUAAUAAUAAUAAUAAUAAUAAUAAUAAUAAUAAUAAUAAAUAAUUAAUAAAAAAAGAAGAUGAGUGUGAGGAAUCAAACCUCUUCCUUUCACAAACGAGCAUUCUCUUCCUGGAAAAUUGUAAUCAAAGACUCUAACUCAAUUUAUAAGUCUGGAAACAACAUAAUCAUCAUCAUCACCACACACUGCCACUCGCCGAACAAGUUUCAAAUUCAAAAAUAAAAUAAAAUUNNNNNN
rnacentral:lncRNA from 1 species